rnacentral:rRNA from 1 species
AGGAAAGGUCGCUGAAUUGUAGCUCGACUCACUAGAGGAGCUACUUGAGUCGACAUGUCGGCAGGUCCCCGUGGCCUAGUCGUGGGCAUGACUGUUACCUGAAGUUUGAUCCUGGCUCAGGACGAACGCUGGCGGCGUGCUUAACACAUGCAAGUCGAGGGGGGGUAGCAAUACUCCACCGGCGAACGGGUGCGUAACACGUGAGCAACCUACCUCGAUGCGGGGGAUAGCCGGCCCAACGGCCGGGUAAUACCGCAUACGCUUCUCGAGAGGAGUCUCUUGGGAAGGAAACCCUUCGGGGGCAUUGAGCGGGGCUCGCGGCCUAUCAGCUAGUUGGUGCGGUAACGGCGCACCAAGGCGAUGACGGGUAGCUGGUCUGAGAGGAUGGCCAGUCACACCGGGACUGAGACACGGCCCGGACUCCUACGGGAGGCAGCAGUGGGGAAUCUUGGACAAUGGGCGCAAGCCUGAUCCAGCCAUGCCGCGUGUGUGAAGAAGGCCUUCGGGUUGUAAAGCACUUUCAGUAGGGAGGAAGGCUUUGGGCUAAUACCCUGGAGUACUUGACGUUACCUACAGAAGAAGCACCGGCUAAUUUCGUGCCAGCAGCCGCGGUAAUACGAAAGGUGCGAGCGUUAAUCGGAAUUACUGGGCGUAAAGCGCGCGUAGGCGGAUUGGAAAGUUGGGGGUGAAAUCCCGGGGCUCAACCCCGGAACUGCCUCCAAAACUUCCAGUCUGGAGUUCGAGAGAGGUGAGUGGAAUUCCGAGUGUAGAGGUGAAAUUCGUAGAUAUUCGGAGGAACACCAGUGGCGAAGGCGGCUCACUGGCUCGAUACUGACGCUGAGGUGCGAAAGUGUGGGGAGCAAACAGGAUUAGAUACCCUGGUAGUCCACACCGUAAACGAUGAAUGCCAGUCGUCGGCAAGCAUGCUUGUCGGUGACACACCUAACGGAUUAAGCAUUCCGCCUGGGGAGUACGGCCGCAAGAUUAAAACUCAAAGGAAUUGACGGGGGCCCGCACAAGCGGUGGGAGCAUGUGGGUUUAAUUCCGAAGCAACGCCGCAGAACCUUACCAACCCUUUGACAUGGGGGAGUAUGGGCCUGGAAGAGAUCUGGGUCCUUCAGUUCCGGCUGGCUCCCAACCAGGGGGCUGCAUGGGCUGUCGUCCAGCUCCGGGUCCUGAAAAAUGUUGGGGUUAAAGUCCCCGCACCCGAGCGGCAACCCUCUAUCUUUCAGUUUGCCCUUCAUUCCGGUUGGGGCCCCUUUUGGAAAAAAACUCGCGCCGGUGACAAAAACCCCGGAAGAGAAAAGGCGCGGGGGAUAAAACCUCCCAAGUCCUCCAUUGGGGCCCCUUUAGGGGGGUGGGGGGGCUACCACCCUGGUGCCAACAUUGGUGGGGGGAGCAAACUGGGGGGGAGACGAGGGCGCUCCCAGAGGGCACAACGCUAAUUUUCCAAAAAAAGGCCUUUUCCCCAUUUUUCCGAAUGUUGCCCCUC